GGGAUGACGUCAAGUCCUCAUGGCCCUUAUAGGUGGGGCUACACACGUCAUACAAUGGCCGGUACAAAGGGCAGCAAACCCGCGAGGGGGACCAAUCCAUCAAAGCCGGUCGUAGUCCGGAUCGCAGUCUGCAACUCGACUGCGUGAAGUCGGAAUCGCUAGUAAUCGUGGAUCAGCAUGUCACGGUGAAUACGUUCCCGGGUCUUGUACACACCGCCCGUCACACCAUGGGAGCGGGUCUCGCCAGAAGUAGUUAGCCUAACCGCAAGGAGGGCGAUUACCACGGCGGGGUUCGUGA
rnacentral:rRNA from 1 species